AUGGCAAAGGUCUCAGAGCUUUAUGAUGUCACUUGGGAAGAAAUGCGAGAUAAAAUGAGAAAAUGGAGAGAAGAAAACUCAUAAAACAGUGAGCAAAUUGUGGAAGUUGGAGAGGAAUUAAUGAAUAUGCUUCUAAGCUUGGAGAUGAUAUUUGGAUCAUAUAUGAGCAAGUGAUGAUUGCAGCCCUAGACUAUGGUUGAGAUGAUUUGGCAUUGUUUUGUCUUCAGGAGUUGAGAAGACAGUUCCCUGGCAGUCACAGAGUCAAGAGAUUUGAAGCAUGAGAUUUGAAGCCAUGGAAAGAUAUGAUGAUGCUAUACAACUAUAUGAUAGAAUUUUACAAGAAGAUCCAACUAACACUGCUGCAAGAAAGCAUAAGAUUACCAUUUGAAAAGCCCAGGGGAAAAAUGUGGAGGCCAUUCGGGAACUGAAUGACUAUCUGGAACAAUUUGUUGGGGACCAAGAAGCUUGGCAUGAACUUGCAGAACUUUAUAUCAAUGAACAUGACUAUGCUAAAGCAGCCUUUUGUUUAGAGGAGAUAAUGAUGACUAAUCCACAAAACCACUUAUACUGUCAGCAGUAUGCUGAAGUUAAAUAUACCCAAGAUGGACUUGAAAACCUCAAACUUUCAAGAAAGUAUUUUGCUCAGGCACUGAAACUGAACAACAGAAAUAUGAGAGCUUUGUUUGGGUUUUACAUGUCGGCAAGUCAUAUUGCGUCUAAUCCAAAAGCAAGUGCAAAAACAAAAAAGGACAACAUGAAAUAUGCUAUUGGGCAGCUAGUCAAAUAAACAGAGCUUAUCAGUUUGAAGGUUGAAGUAAGAAGGAAAUCAAAUACACUCUUAAGGCAGUCGAAGACAUGUUGGAAACACUGCAGAUCACCCAGUCUUAA